rnacentral:rRNA from 1 species
UGCAUGUCUAAGUACAUGCCGUAUUAAGGCGAAACCGCGAAUGGCUCAUUAAAUCAGUUAUGGUUCCUUGGAUCGUACCUUACUACUUGGAUAACUGUGGCAAUUCUAGAGCUAAUACAUGCAGCAGAGCUCCGACCCUCAGGGGACGAGCGCUUUUAUUAGACCAAAACCAAUCGGACCUCGUGUCCGUCUCUUGUGGUGACUCUGUAUAACUUUGGGCUGAUCGCACGGGCCCGUCCCGGCGACGUAUCUUUCAAGUGUCUGCCUUAUCAACUUUCGAUGGUAGGUUACGCGCCUACCAUGGUCGUAACGGGUAACGGGGAAUCAGGGUUCGAUUCCGGAGAGGGAGCCUGAGAAACGGCUACCACAUCCAAGGAAGGCAGCAGGCGCGCAAAUUACCCACUCCCAGAACGGGGAGGUAGUGACGAAAAAUAACAAUACGGGACUCUUUUGAGACCCCGUAAUUGGAAUGAGUACACUUUAAAUCCUUUAACGAGGAUCCAUUAGAGGGCAAGUCUGGUGCCAGCAGCCGCGGUAAUUCCAGCUCUAAUAGCGUAUAUUAAAGUUGUUGCGGUUAAAAAGCUCGUAGUUGGAUCUCAGUUCCAGACGGGUGGUCCUCCUUACGGUGGCUACUGCCUGUUCUGAACAGCCAGCCGGUUUCUCUUGAUGAUCUUCACCGGUUGUCUUGGGUGACCGGCAAGUUUACUUUGAAAAAAUUAGAGUGCUCAAAGCAGGCGUGACGCCUGAAUAAUGGUGCAUGGAAUAAUGGAAUAGGACCUCGGUUCUAUUUUGUUGGUUUUCGGAACACGAGGUAAUGAUUAAGAGGGACAGACGGGGGCAUUCGUAUUGCGACGCUAGAGGUGAAAUUCUUGGACCGUCGCAAGACGAACUACUGC